UACGAAGGGGGCUAGCGUUGCUCGGAAUCACUGGGCGUAAAGGGUGCGUAGGCGGGUCUUUAAGUCAGGGGUGAAAUCCUGGAGCUCAACUCCAGAACUGCCUUUGAUACUGAGGAUCUUGAGUUCGGGAGAGGUGAGUGGAACUGCGAGUGUAGAGGUGAAAUUCGUAGAUAUUCGCAAGAACACCAGUGGCGAAGGCGGCUUACUGGUCCGGUACUGACGCUGAGGUGCGAAAGCGUGGGGAGCAAACAGG
rnacentral:rRNA from 1 species